rnacentral:rRNA from 1 species
GCACCUACGGGACGCAGCAGUGGGGAAUAUUGGACAAUGGGGGAAACCCUGAUCCAGCGACGCCGCGUGAGUGAAGAAGUAUUUCGGUACGUAAAGCUCUAUCAGCAGGAAAGAAAAUGACGGUACCUGACUAAGAAGCCCCGGCUAACUACGUGCCAGCAGCAGCGGUAAUACGUAGGGGGCAAGCGUUAUCCGGAUUUACUGGGUGUAAAGGGAGCGUAGACGGCAGCGCAAGUCUGGAGUGAAAUGCGGGGGCGCAACCCGGGACCUGGUCUGGAAACUGUG